rnacentral:rRNA from 1 species
AUUGAACGCUGGCGGCAGGCCUAACACAUGCAAGUCGAGCGGAUGAGAGGAGCUUGCUUCUCGAUUCAGCGGCGGACGGGUGAGUAAUGCCUAGGAAUCUGCCUGGUAGUGGGGGACAACGUUACGAAAGGAACGCUAAUACCGCAUACGUCCUACGAGAGAAAGCAGGGGACCUUCGGGCCUUGCGCUAUCAGAUGAGCCUAGGUCGGAUUAGCUAGUUGGUGAGGUAAUGGCUCACAAAGGCGACGAUCCGUAACUGGUCUGAGAGGAUGAUCAGUCACACUGGAACUGAGACACGGUCCAGACUCCUACGGGAGGCAGCAGUGGGGAAUAUUGGACAAUGGGCGAAAGCCUGAUCCAGCCAUGCCGCGUGUGUGAAGAAGGUCUUCGGAUUGUAAAGCACUUUAAGUUGGGAGGAAGGGUUGUAGAUUAAUACUCUGCAAUUUUGACGUUACCGACAGAAUAAGCACCGGCUAACUCUGUGCCAGCCGCCGCAGUAACAC